UACCAGCACCCCGAGUGGUCGGGACGAUUAUUGGGCCUAAAGCAUCCGUAGCCGGUUCUACAAGUCUUCCGUUAAAUCCACCUGCUUAACAGAUGGGCUGCGGAGGAUACUAUAGAGCUAGGAGGCGGGAGAGGCAAGCGGUACUUAGUGGGUAGGGGUAAAAUCCGUUGAUCCAUUGAAGACCACCAGUGGCGAAGGCGGCUUGCCAGAACGCACUCGACGGUGAGGGAUGAAAGCUGGGGGAAGCAAACCGGG
rnacentral:rRNA from 1 species